rnacentral:rRNA from 1 species
CGAGAUCAGGUCGGUGACUGGAGUUCAGACGUGUGCUCUUCCGAUCUGAAAUCUUGCGGGAAUCCGCCGGGACCAUCCGGCAAGGCUAAAUACUCAAUUGCGACCGAUAGUGAACAAGUACCGUGAGGGAAAGGUGAAAAGAACCCCUGCGAGGGGAGUGAAAUAGUACCUGAAACCGCAUGCUUACAAGCAGUGGGAGGGCGUUAAUGCCUGACCUCGUGCCUAUUGAAUAAUGAGCUGGCUAGUCAUUCUCAGUGGCAAGGUUAAGAGAAAUCGAGCCGUAGCGAAAGCGAGUCUGAAUAGGGCGCGUAAGUCGCUGGGAAUGGACGCGAAGCGGGAUGAUCUACCCUUGGCCAGGAUGAAAUUCGUGUAACAGCGAAUGGAGGUCCGAACCAGUGUUGGUUGAAAACAGCUUGGAUGAGCUGAGGGUAGGGGUGAAAGGCUAAUCAAAUUCCGUGAUAGCUCGUUCUCUCCGAAAUAGCUUUAGGGCUAGCGUCGUGUGGUCCGUCUUGGUGGUAGAGAACUGAUUGGACUAGGGGGCUUCCCAGCUUACCGAAUCCAGCCAAACUUCGAAUGCCAGGAACGAGUAGCACGGCAGUCAGACAGUGUGGGCUAAGCUUCAUUGUCGAAAGGGGAAGAGCCCAGACCAACAACUAAGGUCCCCAAAUAUACGCUAAGUGGUAAAGGAAGUCGGGAGGCAUUGACAGCCAGGAGGUUAGCUUAGAAGCAGCUAUCCUUUAAAGAAAGCGUAAUAGCUCACUGGUCGAGCAACCCGGUGCCGAUAAUCCAACGGGGCUCAAGCGUAUUACCGAAGUUUUGGAUGCGUUGCCGCAAGGUAACGCGUGGUAGGAGAGCGUUCCUAACAGCUGCGAAGGUAUACCGUGAGGAGUACUGGAGCGUUAGGAAGAGACUCUGCCAGCAUAAGUAGCGAGAAACAACGUGAGAACCGUUGUCGCCGUAAGUCUAAGGUUUCCUGAGAAAGGUUAAUCCGCUCAGGGUUAGUCGGUGCCUAAGGUGAGGCCGAAAGGCGUAGCUGAUGGACACACGGUUAAUAUUCCGUGACCUCCGAUAGUUUCGAUGCGGGGACGCAUCGCGGGACCGUCCUAUGUAAUGGUUUAAGUAGGAUGGAAGCGCGAGAUCCGGAUAGGCAAAUCCGCCGGGUCGUAUGCCAGGAAAAUCCGCUAAGGUUAGGCUAUUGGAGACCGUACCACAAACCGACACAGGUGGACGAGUAGAAUAUACUCAGGCGCUCGGGUGACCGAUUGUUCAGGAACUAGGCACAUUAACCCCGUAACUUCGGGAGAAGGGGUGCUCUACUUCGGUAGAGCCGCAGCGAAUCGCGUCAGGCGACUGUUUAACAAAAACACAGGUCUCUGCAAAGUCAAAAAUACGACGUAUAGGGGCUGACUCCUGCCCGGUGCCGGAAGGUUAAAAGGAGAGGUUAGCCGCAAGGCGAAGCUUUGAAUUGAAGCCCCGGUGAACGGCGGCCGUAACUAUAACGGUCCUAAGGUAGCGAAAUUCCUUGUCGGGUAAGUUCCGACCCGCACGAAAGGCGUAACGAUCUGGGCGCUGUCUCGGAGAGAGACUCGGCGAAAUAGGAUUGUCUGUGAAGAUACGGACUACCUACACUUGGACAGAAAGACCCUAUGAAGCUUUACUAUAGCCUGGAAUUGGGUUCGGGCUUCGCUUGCGCAGAAUAGGUGGGAGACGAAGAAGUAAUCCUUGUGGGGAUUAUGGAGUCAUCGGUGAGAUACCACUCUAGCGAGGCUAGAAUUCUAACUUUGUCCCGUAAUCCGGGAGAAGAACAGUGUCAGGUGGGUAGUUUGACUGGGGCGGUCGCCUCCAAAAAGGUAACGGAGGCGCACAAAGGUUCCCUCAGGCUGGAUGGAAAUCAGCCAAAGAGUGUAAAGGCAGAAGGGAGCUUGACUGCGAGAGAGACAACUCAAGCAGGGUGGAAACACGGUCUUAGUGAUCCGACGGUGCUGCGUGGAAAGGCCGUCGCUCAACGGAUAAAAGUUACUCUAGGAUAACAGGCUGAUCUCCCCCAAGAGUUCACAUCGACGGGGAGGUUUGGCACCU